GUGCCAGCAGCCGCGGUAAUACCAGCUCCGCGAGUGGUCGGGGUGCUUACUGGGCCUAAAGCGCCCGUAGCCGGCCCGGUAAGUCGUCCCUGAAAUCCACGGGCUCAACCCSUGGGCUGGCGGACGAUACUGCCGGGCUUGGGGGCGGGAGAGGCCGRGGGUACUCCCGGGGUAGGGGCGAAAUCCGAUAAUCCCGGGAGGACCACCAGUGGCGAAGGCGCUCGGCUGGAACGCGCCCGACGGUGAGGGGCGAAAGCUGGGGGAGCAAAGGGGAUUAGAUACCCCUGUAGUCCCAGCUGUAAACGAUGCGGGCUAGCUGUUGGGCGGGCUUAGAGCCCGCCCAGUGGCGGAGGGAAGCCGUUAAGCCCGCCGCCUGGGGAGUACGGCCGCAAGGCUGAAACUUAAAGGAAUUGGCGGGGGGGCACCACAAGGGGUGAAGCUUGCGGCUUAAUUGGAGUCAACGCCGGAAACCUUACCCGGGGCGACAGCAGGAUGAUGGCCAGGCUAACGACCUUGCCGGACGAGCUGAGAGGAGGUGCAUGGCCGUCGUCAGCUCGUGCCGUGAGGUGUCCGGUUAAGUCCGGCAACGAGCGAGACCC
rnacentral:rRNA from 1 species